UCGCCCCAGUGGGCUCCAGGCUAGUGGCUGAAGAAAGGGGCGACUUUUCCCACUUUCACUGCAUGCAGCUCAUCUGAGGGUGGAGCGUGGAAGUGUGGCAGGCCCUGCCUGGCCCAGCUGGGGUCUGCAGAGGGUCCAGCCCUCUUGUCCUCCAGGACCUCCCCUGGGCAAGGCACAGGGGUCACAGGGCAGUGUGUGUGUGUUUUAGAAACAUGGGUGCCUCCAUCAUGCGUGAUCUCACAACUCUGGGAUUUUAUUUUACAACUGGUACCCGAACAGAAACUCAGGACCCAGGGACC